GGGAAUGUGGCUUAGUGGUAGAAUGCUUGCCUUGCAUGCAUGAAGCCCUGGGUUUGAUUCCCCAGUACCA
rnacentral:tRNA from 1 species